rnacentral:rRNA from 1 species
AAUGAACGUUGGCGGCGUGGAUUAGGCAUGCAAGUCGAGCGAGAUCUGUAGCAAUACAGUGAAAGCGGCGAAAGGGAGAGUAAUGCGUAGAUACGUACCUUGGGGUUCAGGAUAGCGUCGGGAAACUGACGGUAAUACUGGAUAAUGUCUUCGGACCAAAGAUUUAUUGCCCUUAGAUCGGUCUGCGUCCUAUUAGCUAGUUGGUGGGUAAUGGCCUACCAAGGCGAAGAUGGGUACUGGGUGUGAGAGCACGACCCAGCUCACUGGGACUGAGACACUGCCCAGACACCUACGGGUGGCAG